rnacentral:rRNA from 1 species
UACGUAGGGUGCGAGCGUUGUCCGGAAUUAUUGGGCGUAAAGAGCUUGUAGGCGGUUUGUCGCGUCUGCUGUGAAAAUCCGGGCUCAACCCCGGACUUGCAGUGGUACGGCAGACUAGAGUGUGGUAGGGAGACUGGAAGUUCCUGGUGAUAGCGGUGAAAUGCGCAGAUAUCAGGAGGAACACCGAUGGCGAAGGCAGGUCUCUGGGCCACUACUGACGCUGGAGAAGCGGAAAGCAUGGGGAGCGAACAGG